AGGGGCAGGGGGGCGGCAGGCCCGGCCCGGCCCGGUGGCCGCUCCUAGGCCGAGGGCACAGGCGGCCCUGACCGUGACCGUGACCGUGACCGUCGCUCCCGGCCGCCUGCCAGGGCUUGUUCCCGCGGGGAGCGGCAGCCCCAGCCCGCGGGCAGGCGCUGCUGGGGCAGCAAGGGAAAGGAGGGGCUGCAGUAACGGUGUUGUAACCUGGUAGCCUAGAGACAGAAUUUGAAGAUGCUCGUCUGGAAGACAUAGCCAUCCGUAGCCAUAGUCUUGGGAAGGAGCAAAACUGCUGGAACAGGUUCAAGAAAGAUGAACUCAGCCUGGAAUACUUGAAGAAAAUAUUAGGCAGGGUGCCAAGAAGGAUGAAGCAACUCUCAGGUGACAUAACUAGAAGUGCUCAGACUAUUUAUUACAAUAAAACAGACUCAGAGGGAUUCUGAUUGUUCCCUGUAACUGCAUCAACAGAAAACCCCAGGAAAAGAGCAAUAAUCAAACUCAGCACAUUUUUUUCAUGGUUACUAUUAUAUAAAUGGGAAACUAGUGUGAUCUUAACACUUGGAAAAAAGUGAGGUUCCAGAACACCCUUUCCAAAGAUUAAGAGAUGUAAAAGUAACAACUUCUCAGGCAGAUUUUGACACAGUACGUAAAAGGGACUGGGACUUGAUGAAGCAAGUAGUCUUGGGAAAACACCUAAAGGAAGCAUUAAACUUUCUGCCUAAGAAUUCAAUACACCAUUUUUUUUUUAAUGCUGCAUCCCAUGCAAGCCUUUUAGGUGGUCUGCAGCAUACCUUCCAUUUCACUGAGAAGACAGCCAUAAAUUGCUUAGCCUAGGAUGUUUUUGAAGCUAUAUCAUUUCACAGAUAAUCGAAAUAAAACUACACAGCAGAACCUACAAAAGCCAAGCAGCACCUUGUUUUCAUCCUAGCUUCUCACUACCUUUUUUUCUUAGAGGCAAAAAUUAUUAUAAUGAAACCUGCUGAUGACAUGAAUUUGUAGAUUAAGCGUAUGCAUGAGAUAAUAGAAUGAAACUGCAAAGUAACUUCCUAAGGUGUCAGAGAAAUACUGGUUUAACAUUCACACAGAUUACAUAUGUAAAUAUGUCAGAACUAUCUCCCAAAUACAAUCAAAAAGCCUUAUUAAAUAAUUUGGCCAUCAGUACAGCUUUUAAUUAGUGACAACAUAAUAGACUGGCAUCACCUGGAAUAACAGGGUCAGUAGCCCAUUUACAACAGAUCUAGACCAAGUAAAUUUAAAAGCAAAGGAGACCAGCAAGAAGUACUGUUGUGAAAAUACUAAUGGGAUUAUCCAAAAAGCGCAAAUGUUCCAGAGGUCCUUGGUAUGGGUAUUCCAUGACUUCCAUGGCUGUAACUACGGGUCCCAACAUCUCAAAGUAGAAGAUUUUGUGAGUGAGUAUGGGGUGGACGUGGAAAAGGAGGAGUAGGAGGAAAAGGUGGCUGCAAGCUGCAAAAAGCAUGUUAGGUUCUUCCACAGACGACGUGCAUGUUGGCACACAGAGCCAGGGGAGCCCUGUGCUGGUCAGAAAGUAGAUGUCUGGGGAGAAGGUGAGGCACAGAGCCCAAGCAGCCCUUUGCUGCUUACCUGUGCAGACCUAAAGCUGUGCACUCUCCGUGCACUCAAGGCUGAUUUGCUCCCAAAGUGCUACCUUGCCCCACUCAGGACAGCUUCUUCAACUUGGCAGCUGGUUUGGCUGGAAAAGUCCUUUAACUUGCUCAGGCUUUUGCAAGUUUGUAAAGAAUAUAUAAUGAUUUAAUACAGUAAUUUUUUUUUAGAAGAAUGAACAAAGGUAAAUUCACAAUAGCAGUGUUGCACCUUUGAACCUCGAGAGGAAGCUUUCAAGUUCUAAGAAAGUAUUAUCCUGUGUGUGUCUCCCGUUUUGGUGUCCAUCUCUAUGCAGGUCUAAGCACAGGAUGAAGUUCAAGGCCAUAACACCAACAAGUGCUCAAGGACAGUGGAAACAAGAGAGACUUGCAGUAAGAAACCAACAUAGAAAAAUGCAGUUCAGAAUAUCGCGUCUAGCUCUACCUGCCCUCUCUCAGAUUUCCUCUAGGUGCACCACUAAAUCAAGCUCAUGUGGUAAACAAACAAACAAACAAAAAAACAAUUGUUGCUCUGCUUUCUACAGAAGACUAAUUUUGUCUCUAAUCAAAUAGCUAUCCCUUUAUCCCCUCUAAAGUAGAAGGUUAUCUUUCCAAAUUAAUCUUUCCAUAAGAAAGUUGACUGUUGAACACACAGGAUGAAUUUGAGGAUUCAGACAAACAACAAAGCAGCCAAGGCCUGUAAAAUUUUGAAUUUGAAUCUAUUCUAGUUUGUUAUCCAUUAACCUGGGUCCAGAAAACAGCAGAAUAAAAUACAGUGCUAAAACCCUGCAUAAUAUUUGAAAUUCUAAUAAAUGAAGAAGGCCUGUUUCCACAGAGUUUACCUUUUAAAUAUUUUAUCAACUAUUACAUGAAAAUAGUAAGGAAGAAUCUGUACAAAGAUCUGCUUCACCAUUCUCAAGAAAUUAAGAGUAAACCAGUAAGAACUGGGAAGACAAAAUUUAAGUGCGUGACCUUACUCCUCUUACAGGCAAGAGUAUAUGGUUCAUAGAAACCAUAAAAAAAUUAAGUUUCCAUGGAUUUCAGUUAUUUAGAAUACCAAAUAUUCUGAAAACAUAGUACAACUUGGAUUAAUAAAACGUAUCAUCAUUUAAAGUCUUCAUAUCUGAGCACUGAUUAAAAUCUAGCUUUUGUAUUUCGUAUUGCUGAGCAGUUACUACUAAAAAAAAAUCAUUACACUUCUGCAGCUCACACAUUUAAGUAUUUGCAAUAUUAUGCAACUAUAUGGGAUUCAAAUUAAAUUAAUUAAAGCCAUAUCUACAAGUUGUGUGUAUAUAUUUGCAAACCUGACAUGCAAGUUCUAGAGGUUUUAUUUUUGUAGUUCAUGGCACUAGUCCCUGUGGUGCAUCCCUUCCUUGACCUAAAGAAUUUUCCAUUACAGUUCUAAGGCUUAUAUUCUGACUCUACUGGUUUGAUUGCCCAACUUUGGAUACACUCUGUAUUUUUUUUUUUUUUUAAUGUUAAAAUGUAUUCUGGAUUAAAAUUAUCUUUAUGGUUGCAAAGUCAAUCACUGGAAGAAAAGCCUGCAGAAAGACAGUUGUCAAACUUAAAUCCUCCCCUUUUUGUAUGUGAACCAUAAUGAAUAAGUACUAAUAGGAUAACAUAGUACUUUCCCCUCAAAAUGUCCUCAUUAAAAAUCUAAGUAGGGUUCCAAGGGCAACUGAAAUUUUGAUACAUUCUAACUUUUCUAGGCUUUUCUUUGAUGGAAUUCCUUGCAUAUCCUAUAAAACCAUAUCACCUAUUAUUAAAGAUAUUUUGUCUGCAACGAAUUAAAGAUUUCACGAGCUAUAUCAAUGGUACGUACCUGAAAGGACUUCACAACCUUUCCGACAUCUUUCUGAUGAAGAACUGUAUUGUUUAUAGAUGGGCAUAUUGAUUCCUAUGUUCAAUUAACAAUACUUAAAGCCCGUCAAUUUUAUUAUGUUCCUUUUCACUGAUUUCUACUGUAUCUCCUCCUACUACUUUUGGAAAUGAAGGUUACAGUAAGCUCUGAAUGCUUUCCAACAAGGCUAAAAAGUCUUAACUUCAGUAAGUGUAUUAUACAAUUCUUCUCUAUCAGCAGCUUCCACUCUACAGCUUUUGUACUUACUGUGAACUCACAAAAAAGUAAUCUGUAAAUAAAUACUCCUAUUCAAAAUA